rnacentral:rRNA from 1 species
GAUGAACGCUAGCUACAGGCUUAACACAUGCAAGUCGAGGGGCAGCAUGGUCUUAGCUUGCUAAGGCCGAUGGCGACCGGCGCACGGGUGAGUAACACGUAUCCAACCUGCCGUCUACUCUUGGACAGCCUUCUGAAAGGAAGAUUAAUACAAGAUGGCAUCAUGAGUCCGCAUGUUCACAUGAUUAAAGGUAUUCCGGUAGACGAUGGGGAUGCGUUCCAUUAGAUAGUAGGCGGGGUAACGGCCCACCUAGUCUUCGAUGGAUAGGGGUUCUGAGAGGAAGGUCCCCCACAUUGGAACUGAGACACGGUCCAAACUCCUACGGGAGGCAGCAGUGAGGAAUAUUGGUCAAUGGGCGUAGGCCUGAACCAGCCAAGUAGCGUGAAGGAUGACUGCCCUAUGGGUUGUAAACUUCUUUUAUAAAGGAAUAAAGUCGGGUAUGUAUACCCGUUUGCAUGUACUUUAUGAAUAAGGAUCGGCUAACUCCGUG